CUGUUUAACAAAAACAUUUCCUUUAGAUUAUAUUAAAGGUAUGUUCUGCUCUAUGAAAUUUAAAUGGCUGCAGUAUUUUAACUGUACAAAGGUAGCAUAAUAAUUAGUCUUUUAAUUAAGGGCUGGUAUGAAUGAAUGAAUAAGGGAUUUAUUUUAAUUUAAUUAAUUAUUAAAAUUUUAUUUUUUGGUAAAAAAUCUAAAUUAAUUAAUUGGGACGAAAAGACCCUACAGAACUUUAUUGUGAUUACUUAUUUAAAUUUAAUUUUAUUUUAAAAAAGUUUUUAAUAAUUUUAUUGGGGUGAUAAUUAAAUUUAAUCUUUAUUUUUGUAAAUCUUUAAUUUAAGAAAUUUUGAUUAAUUUGUUUUAUUUAAGUUAAAGUUACCUUAGGGAUAACAGCGUAAUUUAAAUGGGGAGUUCAUAUCUAUAUUUAAGUUUGCGACCUCGAUGUUGAAUUAAGAAUAAAUUUUGGGGUAGAUUUUAAUUAUUUAAGUCUGUUCGACUUUUAAAUUCUUACAUGAUCUGAGUUCAGACCGG
rnacentral:rRNA from 1 species